rnacentral:rRNA from 1 species
GAUGAACGCUGGCGGCGUGCCUAAUACAUGCAAGUCGAGCGAACAGACGAGGAGCUUGCUCCUCUGACGUUAGCGGCGGACGGGUGAGUAACACGUGGAUAACCUACCUAUAAGGCUGGGAUAACUUCGGGAAACCGGAGCUAAUACCGGAUAAUAUAUUGAACCGCAUGGUUCAAUAGUGAAAGACGGUUUUGCUGUCACUUAUAGAUGGAUCCGCGCCGCAUUAGCUAGUUGGUAAGGUAUCGGCUUACCAAGGCAACGAUGCGUAGCCGACCUGGGAGGGUGAUCGGCCACACUGGAACUGAGACACGGUCCAGACUCCUACGGGAGGCAGCAGUAGGGAAUCUUCCGCAAUGGGCGAAAGCCUGACGGAGCAACGCCGCGUGAGUGAUGAAGGUCUUCGGAUCGUAAAACUCUGUUAUUAGGGAAGAACAAAUGUGUAAGUAACUAUGCACGUCUUGACGGUACCUAAUCAGAAAGCCACGGCUAACUACGUG